rnacentral:rRNA from 1 species
UACGUAGGGGGCUAGCGUUGUCCGGAAUCAUUGGGCGUAAAGAGCGUGUAGGCGGUCCGGUAAGUCCGUUGUGAAAGUCAGGGGCUCAACCCUUGAAUGCCGGCGGAUACUGUCGGGCUAGAGUCCGGAAGAGGCGAGUGGAAUUCCCGGUGUAGCGGUGAAAUGCGCAGAUAUCAGGAAGAACACCCGUGGCGAAGGCGGCUCUCUGGGCACGGUACUGACGCUGAGACGCGAAAAGCGUGGGGAGCGAACAGG